rnacentral:rRNA from 1 species
UACGUAGGGGGCAAGCGUUGUCCGGAUUUAUUGGGCGUAAAGAGCGUGUAGGCGGCCAGACAGGUCCGUUGUGAAAACUCGAGGCUCAACCUCGAGAUGUCGAUGGAAACCGUCUGGCUAGAGUCCGGAAGAGGAGUGUGGAAUUCCUGGUGUAGCGGUGAAAUGCGCAGAUAUCGGGAGGAACACCAAUGGCGAAGGCAGCUCGCUGGGACGUUACUGACGCUAAGACGCGAAAGCGUGGGGAGCAAACAGG